UGUUGAUUGAAUAAAUAGCCAGCAAUAUCAGAACUGGGACUUACUUAAUGACCUGGAAGGUAUUAAUGAAAGCCAGACUGGCUGUAGUUAUAUUUAGCACCAAGACCAACUUCAGAAUUUCAAAUGGGUAUCUAUCUGACUUACAAGGUGCCCUCAGUUGCUUUGGGGUUCUAUCUAGCUGUGUUCUGCCUGGGAUUAGUUACAGAAUUUAGUUGCUGUUCAGUCAAAGCCAGUGGGUGAUAGCAGCAGUAAUCUUCAGGUCAUUUCAGCUGCCUUUUUCCUCCCGGUUGUUAUUCUUGAUCCUUUAUUUUUGACACAGUUGGAUAAACUUCCAAACUGUUCUAGCUUUUGCUGGUUCUGUUUGAUCCAUAAUUCCGUGUAUUUUGUUGGCCCUAUAACACCUCUUCCCAUGUCUUUUUAUCCCUCAUUAGGGGCUUCAUCCAUUGGUUGGGGCUCUACUGGAUUUUAAUAUACUCUCAAGUCAUAUCUCUAACCCCAGUCUUUCAGUCUACAAUCUCGUAUGUGCCUCCAGAUCACAUGAAACUUGAUAAUGUUAAAAGACAGUUACAAGCAUUUGUUCACUUAGAAACAUGUAGUGAAUAUCAGUGUUCCAGGCACUGGCACUGUGCAGUCACGGGUAUACAGGGGGAACAUUUGGCAAAGGAAAGAAAACCUUAUAGGCUUAGCCAUGAAAAUUGUGAGUUUGAGAAACACCUUUUGAUCCCACCAAUUGAAAUCUUAAUAGUUCUUUUUGUUGAAUUUUCUGUUAAGUCGUGGUGAUUCUUCUCUAUGAUGUCUUUUUCUUAAUAUCUCUAGUCAUUAAUCCAAUAUCCUAAGGUGGUGUUUUUUAACCUUUCUUUUAGGAUAAUGACUUGGAACCAAUGUAGAAAAAAAUACCAGACCAGCCAUAAGAAAUAACAGCUAUAGUUUAGUACUUGAUUGGAGUUGUAAUCAGUUGAUUAGAAAACUUACAUUAAAAAGAUUCUAGGAAUUCAGCAAUAUUUUGUAAGUGAAUUAUCUUUUAUUAAUUACAACAGCUUUUAUAUCAGAUUCAGACUAUUUUGAAUGUUAGAAGGUCAUUUUUAUGUUAGAUAUUCUAGGUACUGAAAAUACGACAGUGAGUAAGACAGGCUCUCUCCUAUGGAGCUAAUGUUCUGUUAAAGGAGACAAAAUUAAUUCAUAUUUAGUCUAAUAUAUUCCAAAAUCCAAGACUUAAUAGGGUAGGAAGCACUGCUGUGGGCCUUAAAAGUUGGUUGCUAGAUUAUUAUUCCUCUUCCUCGUCAUCCUGCCCAAUCCCUCAUACUACCCUAUUUGUCCUACGCAGUUGUCAUAAUCAUCACACAGACACCCACAUGCCUACUAUGUCAUGGUGUCAAGUUUAAAUUCUUGAAGUUUGAGAACUUUCAUAUACUUCCUUGGCAUCUUAUGUUUCCUUUAAACCUUUUAUUAAUUUCCCAAUCUGUCUGCAAUUCUGCCUAAGACUUUUCUGUCAUCCUUAGGAAGGUGAUGCUGAUUUUUUUCCCCAUACUUUGGUCCACCUUUCUUUAACCCAUUACUUUCUAGCAAUUAUUUUGGCAGUUAUUUCAUUUUCCUAAGACAAAGAUUGGAAUGUGUUGUCACUGAUGAAAUAAUAGAAAUAUAUGGUUGAGUCAUGUACAAAAUAACUUACAGGCCCCAACCAGUGGCCCUCUUCAGGGGGUAUUUGGAAUUAUUUAAGUGACAGACAACAAAUUUGGACUGAAUCUUAAUAUCUAGAUUCUGUGGGUAACAAAAUCUGUAAAUAGAAAAUAAUAAAAUGGUUAGGAUUAGUCCAUAUGAGAGUUUGCGUUCAGAGGUUUGGAGGGCAAAACUGACGAUUUCCUGCUCUUGACUAUUAUAGAGCAGUCUCUUGCUUCACAGUUGUCAAAAUCCCACUUCAUGAACGAUCACAGACCAAAUGGCAGAAAACAACCCAGUUGUUUUCCCAGUUGUUUCUAUUCCUAAAAAUUGCAUAGGUGGGUACAUAUCGUAUUCUGUUGUGUUUUCUGAAAGCAAAGGUACUGUCAUGUUAUUGUGGUCUAUGUGCAUAUCGCUGUAGUUAUCCAUGCUAUAGGUAAAACUGUUGAAAAGAAUUAUUUAAUUGUGGUGAUAAACUGCCUUAGACGGAGUCUGUUAGACGUGCCUUCUUAUGGUGUUUAUGCCUUAGCUGUCUCUUCCUGAGGAAAUGUAUGAAUAAGAAAGGCUUCUUGAUAUUUUGACCUUAGACUUGAUAUCUAAUGCAACACCCUUCCUCCCCCAUUUAUAGGAAUAGUACUCAUUCAUUGAGUACUAUUAUAUGCCAGACACACGACGCUAGGUGGUUUGUAUUAUCUUUAUAUCCACAAUAACCUUGAUUUAGGUAGUAGUAUCCCUGUUUUACUGUGAGAAAACUGAGGCCCAGAAAGGUUAAGUGAUAAUUGUAUGGCUAGUUUGUGAUAACUAUAGAUACUACAACUAAAAAUUUACCUUUCUGGUUCUUUUUUUUCAUUCUUACCUUUCUCUAGCAAUACAUAUUUAGCUCUUUAGAGCUAGUUACAAUAUAUUUUUUAUGUUAGACUUACUGUGUGGGGAGUUUUGAAUUUAAAAACUAAAAAAAAAAAACACCAGAAGGUUUAUUCUAAAGGUUUAAAUUUUUAAAAUUUAAUCUGCUGUUGUGUGCUUCUGUUACCCCUGACCUUAGUUAGCAUUGCAGGAUACUUUCUUUUCCAUAUUUUGUGAUUGAUAUAUGUGUGAUUCUUUGUAUGUACAAAAGCUUGAGCUUGAGUUUUUUAGAGGAAAGGAAUAAAAUAAAUUAAGUUGGUUGAAUUAAGUAUGUCUUGGUGGAUUUGGUUAUCCCCACAGCAAACUUGAGCAUUCAGUUUACCCAUGAUUAAGGGUGCUGAUACUAUAUUUAAGGGCGUUCUGCCUUCCAUCUCUUUUCUAAUAUCAAUAGUAUUAAUUGAUGCCAGGCAAGAGGAGUGCUGCCAUAUUUGGGUCAGCUACUUCGUCAAGAGUAUUUUGCAGAAUGUACCUGAAGCUAUUCUGAAAGUUAAAUAUCAUUAGAUACAUUGUCAAACCCUGAAGCUGAAAUUCCAGCCAUUCAGGGAGCCCCUCAGGGAGAUCACUGCUUUUCCCUUGCAAAAAUAAAAAUAGUGUAUAAAAUACUAUUUAAAUAUAUACUCUUAUCUAAUUCUAAUAGCUAGUAUUUGUUAAGUGCUUAGUAAGUGCCAAGUGCUGUUCAAAUUGCUUUUUAGGCUCACACCUGUAUAAUCCCAGCACUUUCUGAGGCCAAGGUGAGAGGACUGCCAUCUUGAAAUUUUUUUUUUAAAGUACUUUUUAGGUGUUCUUUAAAAUAAUAAUUCCACUUUACAGAUGAAGACACUGAGGUGCAGGGAGGUUUAAUUCACCUUUUUUUUUUUUUUCAAGUUUACAGCAAGUAUUUAGUCAUUGAGCUAUCAUUCAAAUCAUAAUAACUAGUCUUUACAAAAUAGAGCCCCAAAGUGCUAUAGAUAAAAGGUUUUCAUUUUGCUUUGCUUUUUAACUUUGGUGUUGUCUCUUUUCCUUUCUUUCUUCUCCCCUCAUCUUCUCUCUACCCUAUGGUCUGUUUUGGAUUUUUCUCGUUAUAUAUAAGCUUUAACUUUUGCUUUUCUUCUUUUUUUCUCCCCCUUUCUUUUUGAAUGGUUUUAGCAUCCUUGGGCGCAGAAAACUCUGGAAAUGUAUUCAUAAGUUUAGAAAUUAUAUAAGACACUUCAGAAUGAUAAUACUUAAUUAUUUUAGAAAUUUCCAUUUUGAAUUAUAUUGUUUAGGGGGAGGGCUAUUAAAGUGUUCUCUGCCAAUUUAUGAUACAUUUUAGAUUUCCCAGUUUUUUUCUGGAUAUCUGUCAGGAGAUGGUGUAGAGGUUUGGUAAGUAAUACAGUUUGAUUUUGUAUGUCUCAAGGGUUACUCAUUCAGUCACAUAUUUGAGUUUAUUUUAUUCUGGCCUUUUUCCCCUCUGGGGAUUCUAUUUAUAGUAUUAAUUGAAAAUCUUUAUGUUAAUGCUAAUUUUGAUUUUUUUUUCCACUAGCAUGUAUUGGAGCACUCAGGCUUGAAGAAGGACAUAGGUAAAAAGUAUAAAAUGGAACAUUUUCUAACAUUAGGGUUGUGAAAAUUUUCUUAUUGUUUAGUUGCAUACUUGGCAUGUUCAAUCUGAAAAAAAAUUGUUUAUGAAACAAUUUAAAUGAUAUUGUUUAAGCCAAAACAGUUACUUAUAUUUCAUUUCUCUUUUAUUUUUAUAAAUAGAGCAUCAAUUCCCUUAAUCACAAAGGUCAAGAAAGGUUAUCUCAUGUUACAUUAGGACAUACUUAGGACUUCGUAGUAUUUCCCUUCUGUGUGAAAUUUUAUCCAGAAGACUUGAAUUACUUAAUCGUAAAGUGAAUAGCAAACGUGAAUCUAAAACAUGGUUUCAGUUUUUCAGAAUCAGGCCUGCUUUGUCCCUAAAUGCUUUCUUAUUUCCCCAGAGCCCUUAUUGGAUUUAAGCCCCAUAUCAUAUCUCACAUACCUGAGACAGACAUACCACAGUGAACCCUGCAUGUCCUUGUAAGUUCUUUUCCGUGCCUAGAAGUUGCAGAAGACCAAGGAACCUUGGAAGUGACUUACUCUUUUGCUUCAUAAAGUUGCUUUAAAACAGCCUUUAUUUUAAUUAUUAACAAGGUAUGUCACACAUUUUUAAAUUUUAAGGUUAAUUUAGUCAUUAAUUCUGUCAAACAAGUGUUCUUUGGAAACUAGUUGUCUUCAAUGUCUUUUACUUGGAGUUACUUGAAGUUUGCUUAAACUUUAUUCACUUGGAGUAGAACUUCCUAGUUAAAUGAUUGAAAAGGACUAGUUCUGCAAAAUCUAUGAGAACAAGAGCUUCUGCAAAUGCAUAAUAUAAAUUCUCUUCCUUUUUUUUUUAAACUGUAUUUUUACAAACCUAGAUCUCUUCCUGCUUUGAUUUGUCUUUAUCAUAUCUUUCAGAACAAACCUUUGAUGGAAUUCUAGGAAAGGUUGAGAUUAAGAAUAUAUUAAAAAUAUUCCACUUUGUACAUUCUGUUUAUAUUAUAGUAAACUAAGUUAUUUAGCAAGAUAAAAUUAGGAAUUUCACCCAAGGUAUCAAUCAGAUGGAACCAUUAGUCCACUGAAGAAUUUACUUUUUAAAAAAGUUAGUGGAGGAAAGGAGAAGAUGCUGCUUAAGAGUAAUCAGAAAUAAAGAUGGUAAGCAUCAUAUGGUAAAUAUAUACAAGUUUCGUCAAUUUUGUAAAAAAAAAAUACAAAGAUGGUAAGGCAUCUUUGAAAUUGUUGUCAGUAGGAAAUUUCAUCUGAUAUAUAUAUAUAUAAAUUUGUUUCAUAAAGCAAGGAGAAAUGGUGUAAAUAAUACAAGUGUGGCUAUUGACAUAUGAAAAUGUCCAUUUAUUUUGAAAGUGACUACCCCCACAGAUUAUAUAACUGUAGAAUCGAAUACAAAUUUUCUCACUUUUCUUCCUUGCUUUGGCAUUUUUUUAAAAGUUACUUGAAAGUUCAGUUUAGAUUGAAAAAUAAGGGCCUGAUUAAUAGCGCUGUAUCAUGGUAUUAGAGUACAUAUGUUAGUAUUUUCAUGAAAGAGGAAGAGGGUAAUAACUGAUUUACCUAUGAUUAAAAGAUAGUGGUGACAUUUUCCUUUGAAAGUUUGGGCUAGAAAUUUAUAACCUUUGGCCAAUGAAACUACAGUAGCUUCAGUCACUGCUUCCAUGCCACAUCUCUACCUAAAGGGAAGAUGGAAUCCGCCUUCUCUUUUUUUUUUUUUUUUUUUUUUCUGAGACUGAAUCUCACUCUGUCGCCCGGGCUAGAGUGCAGUGGCAUAAUCUUGGCUCACUGCAACUUCCACCUUUCAGGUUCAAGCAGUUCUCCUGCCUCAGCUUCCUGAGUAGCUGGGACUACAGGUGCCUGCCACCACACCUGGCUGAUUUUUGUCUUUUUGGUAGAGAUGGGGUUUCACUGCGUUGGUCACGCUGGUCUCGAACUUUUGACCUCAGGUCAUCCACCCGUCUCAGCCUCCCAAAGUUCUGGGAGUACAGGCGUGAGCCACCAUGCCCAGCCUGAAUCCCCCUUCUCAAAAGUAACUUCCAUUCACUUUGUCCCUGGCAGUCUGCUGGUGACCAUGAUUUCUAAGGCUCACUCAUGGGACCAAAGGCAAGAAGAAAGGGAGGAGGGUGGUAACCAGAUAAACUUUGCAACCCCUUUGAUAGGACUUUUUGGGUGAGAAUUUUUAUGAAAAGUAAUAUAUACUUCUACUAUAGAUCUGCCUCUAGUUUCAACCUCUAGUUUUAGCACUGAUUUUUUCCCCUUAAUUUCCAGAAGCAUGAUAUAAUAUCUUUUUCAAAGAAAGUGGGAAGAAUGUCCACAGAUGUUAGGAGAAGACAAUUAUGUAGGAAAAAUAUUUUCUCAAAUUAAAAUUUAAAACAAAAGUUUGCAGGGAAUGGAGUGGGGUUCAGCAUUAGGGAGGUAGGAGAUGAUAAAAAUACAUAUUAAGUAAUUUGUACCCUGAUAUGCUUUGUAUGUAGAUUGCUUACAACUAACAUGAAAUGAGCAUUUCAUUCCUUAAGCAUGCUGUUGGGGGAAAAUGGGAGCCAGGCUGGAUGCACAAAUUUACACCAGAUGCUCUGUAUCCAGGUAGCAGAAAUGACUAACAGCACUGGUAUCCAUCAGUCCCAGAGCAAAAGCGUCUCCAGAGGAGGACAUCUGUAAAUCCCAAAUCUGAUCUCCUUCAUCAUCAUUAGGCAACAGAUAGGAUAAGACUUCAUGAAGAGAAUUUUGGUGGCUUUAGAUUGUUGAGAAAGUAUAUAUAGGAAAAAACUGGAAAUUAUGUCCAAGAUUUUUUGUCUAACUCCUUAUCCUGAUAUUGUUAACAUUUCACAACUAAAAUAAUUUUAACAGACAAUUAGUUUUUAAAAAUGUAUUUUCAUGACCUGAGACUACAGAAAUUGCCAUUUUCUUAGGACGUAGUUUACAUUUGACUCUGCUUACUGUGUCCAGGGCAUCCCCAAAUUGGGAGAGAUUGCCAAGUCAGUUGCCAUUUUGCCUUACUUUUACCAAGGACUAGCCUACAGGUUCAGUUUUGCUCUUGACUUUGGCCCUGAAUUGAGAACUGAGUCAAGAGAACAGAGUGGAAGUAUGGAGACAAAGCCAGCAGCUUUACUCAAAAAAUAUAUAUGAGUCUAGUAUUUUUUUUGUUUUUGAAAGACAUGUUACUGAGCCCAACCCAGUCAGGGAUCACUGAAUAUUGGGUUAAAUAAAACAAUAAUGUUAUUCAUGUGUUUGAAAUUAAUGUUUUAAAGAACCACGCACACACUUUAAAAUGUAACUGGAUUUGCUAUAUAGGCCAGAGAAAUAUGGCUGUUACGAUGAAGGCGUAACUUCUCUGGUUCUUGAUUAUUUACACCAUUAGAGAAGAAUGCAAAUAUGAAUAGCUCAGAGUAGUUUAACUUUGAAGUGAGAGUUUAUAUGCACCUUUAUAUGUGGGAUAACUGAUGUCUUUGGAAUAGACUUCAAAUGAAUGAUAAAAACACCUGUAAAGUGAUAGGACCUCUACUUUUUCUCAUGUCCAAUGUUCAGUUUCUUAUAAACCAGGCAUGAAGAGAAACAAAAAGUAAUUAAUUCUCCAGAUCAUGAAGUUGUCUUCAACCUAAGCACAGAGGUAUAAUAAUUACAUUUCUCAGAAGUUCCCCCUCUGUUUUGAGUCUCAAGGGCAAUUGAGAUGUCAGUGAGGCUGUGAUUAAAUGUAUUGGAUAUUAGAGGAUUUUAAAUACAAACAAGUAUUAUAGGUGUUACCACUGACCCCGAAGGUAAGAUUUACUGUGAAAAUUUAUAAUGCAAGGAAGAAUGAUCAAGUUGGCUGUCAGAACAACAAAAUAUUACAAACCAGGAUGUCUAAGAGCAGAAGUCCGUGGUUGCCACCUCUCAAGCCUCUUAGCUUAAUCCAAUCUAGGAUGCAUUUCCACUCUGCAACAAACAGUAUUUAUUUUUGCCUUAUUUGCAGAUAACAGUUUUAAUGCAGGUACUGCCCAUGGAUUAGCUUUGAGCAGUGUCUUUUUGCUUUGGUUUUUUUAUUUGUUUGGUUUGUUUUGAGACUGAGUCUCAGUCCUCCAGGCUGGAGUGCAGUGGUGUGACUUUGGCUCACUGCAACCUCUGCCUCCCGGGUUCAAGCGAGUCUCCUGCCUCAGCCUCCCAAGUAGCUGAGUCUACAGGCGUGAGCCACCAUCCCCGGCCAAGCAGUAUCUUUUUGCUUUGAAAGUGACUUACAUGUACAUUUGUUUUCCUUGUGAAUGUUUCUUUUUAACUGCAAACUAAGAAACAUUGAGCCCAGCAUUCAUAUAUUUGCAAACUCUGUCUUACUUAAUUUCUCAGUUUUUUUCCUCAGAAAAAAUGAAAUUCCUUUUCUUUUUUAAAUUUAUUUUUUCUUUAUUUUUCUUUAUAAAGUGAAGAGUAGGUAGCAUGAAUUCCUCUUGCCCUUUGCUAUUUCAGUCUGGCAUCAGUAGCAAUUGUUGCUAUGUCCAGUUUUCAUUCAUGGAUUUUUCUGGGAUUGAAGAUGAGUUCAAUGUUGAUUAUUUAAUUGGGCAGUAUAAGUAAAUUCAUUGGCUCUCCUUCCAGUUUAGUGAAUACUAAAUAUCAUCCAUGAUAUUUUAUACUUCUUACACUUCUGGAAUCUAACCUGAAAAUAGAAGUUGUAAGUCAGGGACGGUGGUAUGUGCCUCUAGUCUCAGCUAGUUGGGAGGCUGAGGCUUGAGCCCAGGCCUUCAAGGCUGUAGUGCACAAUGACUGUACUUGUGAAUAGCCACUGCACUCCAGCCUGGGCAACAUAGCAAGACUCCCACCCCUUAAGAAAAAAGAAGAGAGAAAAAAAUAGAAGUUGUGGAGAGGGAGGAGGAUGCUUGAAUACUUUGACCGUACUUGGCAUAAUAGACAUUUUGAGGGUUUUUUUGUUUUCUUAAAAUUCCUCUGGAUCAGUUUUCAUUGUUUCUAGUAAUUAUAUUUAUCGUUAAUGAAUUCAUAUUCUGCUCUAGCCCCUAAAGAUAGUUUGAUAUGCUAACUUUUGUUUUGCCUUUCUAGCUGCUAAGAUAGAUAAUGGUUAUUGCAAAAUGCACGUUUUUAAAUGGUCUCCAGUGUGGAUUGCUUCUGAGCUGCUGAUGGAUUGAAUACAUUGAGAAGGAAUGUGUCAUUUGGAAUCCAGGACCAGUCAGCAAGGAUAACUGCCUGAUUUUAUGAUUUCGUGACUGAUGCUGAAAUGGAAGCCAACCACUGCAGAAAUUUGGGGGAAAAUGAGAUCUGAAGAAUACAAGGGGAAGUAGGAAUUCAUUUCUAGCAUUUCCAAACCUGCUUAAUCGUGUCUGCUCCACCACAGUCAGAGGAAAAGACUGAGUUCAUGGAAAUUACCAGCUAAGCCUUACAUCUGUCUUUAAUGUUUUUAGGAAGUAUACUGAAAAGGUAAGUGAGAUGUCUGUUUUGAAGAAAGACUCUUACUGGGUACCUUAAAACCCGUUGUUUCCUAUUAGUAAAGAUGGGCAGCUUCUUUAUUCCUAGCUUCAAAAAGCCUUGCCCCUGUUUGGUGUGUUUCUCAGUAUUGUGGAGAAGGUAGUUUCUGAGCAAGGUGGUGCUUUUCCUCUGCUUCUCAGCAGCUAAGACAGAAAUUGCACCGAAGUGUACAAAGGGCCAAUUUUUGUUGUCCUGUUGUGCUCAAAUCCUUUUUUUUAAAAAAGUUAUUUCAAUCAAGUCUUAGUUUUAUUCCUCACUAUAUAGGAAAAAAAUCUUUAAUGCCUCAAAAGUUCCAUUCAGCAUUACAUUUGCAUUACUCUUAUUUGCAGCAAAUAUGAGUAAAAUUAUAGGUUUUUAAAGGUCUCUAAUAACAUCCACUUAUAUUGGUUUUGUAGAUAAUCCAUAAAUUACCAGAAAUAAAUUAUUCCACAUUUAUUACACACCCAUGUAAUAGAUGUCGUGCCAGGCCCUGGAAUAUACUAAUGGCAUCACCUCAUGUGGUAAAAAGACACAUUCCGCCAUCCUGGAGUAUACAAAGGUAGACUAGCAUAUAGUUCAUGUGCUCAAGGAGUUCAUUUUUAUUGACAUGAUACAGAUAGAAUUGUAGUUUAGGGAAUCAAAAUCUAAUAAAAUGAGGCUAAUUCCAUUUUCCCAUUAACACUAAUAACUAGUGUGUAAAUCUGAAUAUGACACAUUCUAUAUGAAAGAAGCUCUGUGUGCAUCUACACUAAAUACUCGUGUGUGCCAGGUACUGUUUUAAACUACGUAUAUUUUUUUAAUUCUCAUAACUGUUCUCUGAGGUAUGUACUAAUACUAAAGCUUAUUGUUAAAGGAAGGCAGAAAAAUUAAGUAACUUGGCCUAAGUUUGCAUAACUGUGAUCUGGGAUCAAUAUUUGAACCCAUACAGGCUGAUUGCAGAGCCUGCACUCUUAAUUUGAGUGUGAUAUUUAUGUGCAGUACCUGGCUAUAAGUACCCACAAAACGUUUCAAAUUCUUUAUAAAAUUUGCUUAGUUAAAAAAGUACCAAUUGCAUAAUAUGGUUAUAAGUCUGGUAGAAGUUAGGCUUUUUACAAGACAUGCUGCUUACUGCACCAAGGAGGCAAGAAGGCUUUUUAGAGAGCCCAGAAUUUCCUUUCCUCAACUCCUGCUUCCAAGACAGUCAUUUUGCAUGAUAACCGUUUCCCCAAAAAACACAGACACAAAAUUUAAAGAACUGGAACAGAGGAAGCAGAGCUUAUCAUAGUAUAUAUGUUUAGUACCCUGUCACUUAGGUCCACCCCUCUUUCUUUGUGGAUUGUGGACAUUUUGUUUAACUGCUAAAUCAUGAGAAUAUAUGACUGCUGAGACUUUUCCAAGGAUUUUUUAAAAAACACAUUAGGCUUUGUGCAGAAGUAAAGAAAAAGUGCUGUGAGAACCCCAGGUAGGUAAUUUACUUUCUAUUGUACUCAUAGUUUGUUUGAAACCUCUUCACCUCUAUCCCUUAUUGUUUUAUACUCUGUAAAUCUGAUUUUACCUUUAAUAAACUUUUCUGAAGUGAGUGAGUUUUUUUUGUCUUAUUUCCCAUUAGAUUCUCUACCUUCUUUGUUCACUUUACGUAUGUUAUUGCCACUCCCUUCAAAACUGGUGGUUUAAUUAAAGUGACAGCAUCUUCUAUAUACCCAGUACUGUUGAGGAUUAAAAAAUACAUGUGUGCCGGAUGUGGUGGCACACACCUAUAAUCCUAGCACUUUGGGAGGCCUCAGGCAGGAGGAUUGCAAAAAAGAAAAAGUGCCAAGGCUUUGCUCCUAGUUCGGUGCAGGUUCCAACCAGUACUAAAACUUUGCAAAUUUUUGAGGGAAAAACCAGAAGUUGUAGAAUCAAUAUGAGCAUUUAAUUGUAUAGCAAGCAAUUGUGGCAGAAAAAAUUCACCCUAGUGAAAUCAAGUUAACUAUUCUGUGAAUGAGAUUAACCAGAGGAACAAUUUUGACCAUGUAUCUUUUAAAUCACUGUUUCUCAAACUUCAGUGUGUAUGGGAAUCACCAGGGAUCUUGUUAAAAUGCAGAUUUUGAUUUAGUAGGUCUGGGGUCAACCUGGAGAAUUUGAAUUUAUUUUCUCUUUUUUUAAAAGUAGUUUGAAAUAUAUUUCACAUACCAUAAAAUUCACUCUUUAAAACUGUCCAAUUAACUGUUUUUUAGCAUGUAGAGUUGUUCCACUAUCACCAUUCUAAUUUCAGGACAUUUUCACCGUGCUGAAAAAGAAACCUUGUACCUAUCACUCCCCAUCCCCCUCUCCCUUCCACCCUUUUCCCCUCCACCAGCAUCUGGCAACUGUUAAUCCACUUUCUGCCUUAAUUUAUAUCUUCUGGACAUUUCAUAACGUUUUAUAGACUUCUGUACCUGGCGUCUUUCACUUAGUGUUCAAGGUUCAUCGAUGUUGUAGCAUGUAUCAGUACUUCAUUCCUUUUUGUGGCUGAAUAAUACUCCAUUGUAUGGCUAUAGCACGUUUUCUGUGUCCCUGCAUCAGUUUCCAUUUUUUGGCUAUUAUGAAUAAUACAGCUAUGAACAUUUAUGUACAAG
rnacentral:lncRNA from 1 species